rnacentral:misc_RNA from 1 species
GAAUUUUGCAAUGUGUUGUUUAGAAUACCUGAAGAUCAUCUAUGUUUCUUCUCCUGGGAAAUGUAGCAGACUCAUAAUCCAUGGCUGUUGCAAAAACAAUUGAAUCAAUUUCGAAACUAUAUCAUGGAAAUUGUAGUUGAGUUCAGUCAAUUUGUUGGAAUUUGAAUAUCUACAAUCCUACAUAUGUGAUUUCACAGUAAAUGUCAUGAGGCAGCGACAGAGUCGGA